rnacentral:rRNA from 1 species
UACGUAGGGGGGCAAGCGUUGUUCGGAAUUAUUGGGCGUAAAGGGUGCGUAGGCGGUCUGAUAAGUCAUCUGUGAAAUCUAUGGGCUCAACCCAUAGUCUGCAGGCGAAACUGUCGGGCUUGAGUAUGGGAGAGGUGAGUGGAAUUUCCGGUGUAGCGGUGAAAUGCGUAGAUAUCGGAAGGAACACCUGUGGCGAAAGCGGCUCACUGGACCAUUACUGACGCUGAUGCACGAAAGCUAGGGGAGCAAACAGG